AUUGAACGCUGGCGGCAGGCUUAACACAUGCAAGUCGAGCGGGGAGAGGUAGCUUGCUACAUAACCUAGCGGCGGACGGGUGAGUAAUGCUUAGGAAUCUGCCUAUUAGUGGGGGACAACAUCUCGAAAGGGAUGCUAAUACCGCAUACGUCCUACGGGAGAAAGCAGGGGACCUUCGGGCCUUGCGCUAAUAGAUGAGCCUAAGUCGGAUUAGCUAGUUGGUGGGGUAAAGGCCUACCAAGGCGACGAUCUGUAGCGGGUCUGAGAGGAUGAUCCGCCACACUGGGACUGAGACACGGCCCAGACUCCUACGGGAGGCAGCAGUGGGGAAUAUUGGACAAUGGGGGGAACCCUGAUCCAGCCAUGCCGCGUGUGUGAAGAAGGCCUUUUGGUUGUAAAGCACUUUAAGCGAGGAGGAGGCUACCGAGAUUAAUACUCUUGGAUAGUGGACGUUACUCGCAGAAUAAGCACCGGCUAACUCUGUGCCAGCAGCCGCGGUAAUACAGAGGGUGCAAGCGUUAAUCGGAUUUACUGGGCGUAAAGCGCGCGUAGGUGGCCAAUUAAGUCUAAUGUGAAAUCCCCGAGCUUAACUUGGGAAUUGCAUUCGAUACUGGUUGGCUAGAGUAUGGGAGAGGAUGGUAGAAUUCCAGGUGUAGCGGUGAAAUGCGUAGAGAUCUGGAGGAAUACCGAUGGCGAAGGCAGCCAUCUGGCCUAAUACUGACACUGAGGUGCGAAAGCAUGGGGAGCAAACAGGAUUAGAUACCCUGGUAGUCCAUGCCGUAAACGAUGUCUACUAGCCGUUGGGGCCUUUGAGGCUUUAGUGGCGCAGCUAACGCGAUAAGUAGACCGCCUGGGGAGUACGGUCUGAAGACUAAAACUC
rnacentral:rRNA from 1 species